rnacentral:ncRNA from 2 species
UGAAAACACUAGGGGUGUUCGUAGAAGAACUGAGAUUUGCUUGCGCAGCAAUGUCCCUUGGAACCUGUAAGUUCAUACUUGCGAAGGAAAGUGUAAAAAUAUCAAC